UCUUCAAUAGCAGAAGGGUACAUGCGGCCGACUGUUAAUCGGUGAAUGACGGGUUCGAGUCCCUCUUGAAGAG
rnacentral:tRNA from 1 species